rnacentral:rRNA from 1 species
AUAGGGAGCGAGCGUUAUCCGGAAUUAUUGGGCGUAAAGAGUGUGUAGGCGGUUUAUUAAGUCUGAUGUGAAAGACCCCCCGGGCUUAACCCGGGGGAGGGUCAUUGGAAACUGGUAGACUUGAGUACAGUAGAGGCAAGUGGAAUUCCAUGUGUAGCGGUAAAAUGCGUAGAUAUAUGGAGGAACACCAGUGGCGAAGGCGGCUUGCUGGGCUGGAACUGACGCUGAGACACGAAAGCGUGGGGAGCAAACAGGAUUAGAUACCCUGGUAGUCCACGCCGUAAACGAUGGGCACUAAGUGUUGGUAGAGAUAUCAGUGCUGUAGUUAACGCAUUAAGUGCCCCGCCUGGGGAGUACGGUCGCAAAGACUGA